GCCAUGUUAUUCGAUGGUAUGUAAUACAUUUUGUAAAGUAUGAAUAAUCGUGGAAAUAGCGUUCAUAUAUUAUUUUUCAUAGUGUCUAAUUGUUUAUUAUAUCCCCUUAGAAUGAUAUUAUGUCUUAAUAAAGAUGGCGCCAGAAGUCCUUUUAUUAUUUUAAAGAUUCUCGUAUAAUAAAAAUCACAAACGAAAUAUUCGUGGAAUAUAAAAUGAAAAGAUUUGAAAAAUAUUUAAUCAUUGUGAUACAUUUUAGUACUGUACUGUGUACUGUAUAAUGAUGAACUAGAACCAGCAGCUAAUGACCUCACCUGACGACAAUCCUGAGGGAUAUAAAUUAAUUAACAUCAAGCAGAAGCAUAGGUGUCUAAUCACCUUGAGAAAUAAAAUAUUUAUAAUUUACAUACUAAAAAUAUUUCAUCAGCACCACAUUCUUCUGCAAUUGUUGAUGAACGUCUGUGAACAUUUGAUCUUACUUCUGCUACUAAAUCUAAUUUUGUGCCAAUAACUAAGAUUGGUAUCUAAAAAGAAAUGUUUUAUUUUUGAAUAAAGUAAUAAUAGAAUACAUAUUGUCAAAAGUUUGUAUUACCUGAGUGGAACCUACAAAUUUUUCAGGAUCAAAAUCAUCAAAUGGUUUUGAUUUCAUAUAAUUACUGUCUUUACUUAAAACUUCCUCAAGCCAUUUUUGGAGAUUCUGUUGCGAUUUUCUGUUUGUUAAAUCAUGGACCAAUAUUAUACCUGCAUUAUUGGUAAUGAUAUAUGAUUAUUAAGAUGUUAACUGAAAUUUAUGGUAACAUAUGCCAAAUAUUUUGAAUUUAUACCAUUUGUAGGAUUAUAAAAAACAGAUCUUGUAUUUUUAUGAUUUUGACUACCACCAAUGUCCCAUAGUUCAAUAAAAUAUCUUCUUUGAUUAGGUGUUCCUUCUUUAUAUUCAUGUAAUUUAACUUCCACUGAACAACCUAUGGUCCAAGAAGGAUUAGAAAUAGGCUGUUGCUGACAUAUUAAAUGUGUCAGUGAUGUUUUUCCAACUCCUG